UACGGAGGGUGCAAGCGUUGUUCGGAAUUACUGGGCGUAAAGCGCGCGUAGGCGGUUUGCUAAGUCAGAUGUGAAAGCCCAUGGCUCAACCAUGGACGUGCAUUUGAAACUGGCAGACUUGAGUAUUGGAGGGGGUGGUGGAAUUCCCGGUGUAGAGGUGAAAUUCGUAGAUAUCGGGAGGAAUACCGGUGGCGAAGGCGCUUCUGGACGAUACUGACGCUGAGGCGCGAAAGCGUGGGUAGCAAACAGGAUUAGAACCUACCGUAGUACCGUCCG
rnacentral:rRNA from 1 species